rnacentral:rRNA from 1 species
CCUACGGGAGGCUGCAGUGAGGAAUAUUGGUCAAUGGGCGUAAGCCUGAACCAGCGAAGUCGCGUGAGGGAUGAAGGUUCUAUGGAUCGUAAACCUCUUUUAUAAGGGAAUAAAGUGUGGGUCGUGUCCCAUUUUGUAUGUACCUUAUGCAUAAGGAUCGGCUAACUCCGUGCCAGCAGCCGCGGUAAUACGGAGGAUCCGAGCGUUAUCCGGAUUUAUUGGGUUUGAAGGGUGCGUAGGCGGCCUUUUAAGUCAGCGGUGAAAGUCUGUGGCUCAACCAUAGAAUUGCCGUUGAAACUGGGGGGCUAGAGUAUGUGUGAGGCAGGCGGAAUGCGGGGUGUAGCGGUGAAAUGCUUAGAUAUCACGCAGAACCCCGAUUGCGAAGGCAGCCUGCCAAGCCAUGACUGACGCUGAUGCACGAAAGCGUGGGGAUCAAACAGGAUUAGAUACCCCUGUAGUC